rnacentral:rRNA from 1 species
CUUUAGAGGACCGCAAGCCAACAGGUAUNAACCAUUGGAGGUUCUUCCCUCUUGACAGAGCUUUACGAUCCGAAAACCUUCAUCACUCACGCGGGNUGCUGGCGUCAGGGUUUCCCCCAUUGCGCAAAAUUCCCCACUGCUGCCUCCGUAGGAGUCUGGACCGUGUCUCAGUUCCAGUGUGGCUGAUCAUUCUCUCAAACCAGCUAUCCAUCGGUCGCCUUGGUAGGCCAUUACCCUGCCAACUANGCUAAUGGACCCGCGGACUCAUCUGAUAACAAUAGCUUUCAUGAAAGAGGCCAUCUUUUCCCGCUGCCUNCNAAAAGGCUGNGGGCUNAUCCGGUAUUAACACCUCUUUCGUGGNGUUAUCCCAGAUUAUCAGGCAGAUUAUCCACGUGUUACUCACCCGUGCGCCACUCUACUNANGACCCGAAAGUCCCUUUNUCGUUCGACCUUGCAUGUGUUANGCCUGAANGGGCGAAAUUCGUUUAAACCUGCAGGACUAG